rnacentral:rRNA from 1 species
UACGUACGAGGCGAGCGUUGUCCGGAAUCAUUGGGCGUAAAGCGCGCGUAGGCGGCCUGGUAAGUCCGCUGUGAAAGUCAAAGGCUCAACCUUUGAAUGUCAGCGGAUACUGCCAGGCUAGAGUCCGGAAGAGGCGAGUGGAAUUCCUGGUGUAGCGGUGGAAUGCGCAGAUAUCAGGAAGAACACCCGUGGCUAAGGCGGCUCUCUAGUACGGUACUGACGCUGAGACGCGAAAGCGUGGGGAGCGAACAGG